rnacentral:tRNA from 1 species
CAUAGCUCAGUUGGUAGUAGCGCAUGACUGUUAAUCAUGAUGUCGUAGGUUCGAGUCCUACUG